rnacentral:rRNA from 1 species
AAAAAAAAAAACACGUAGAUAACCUACCUAUAAGACUGGGAUAACUUCGGGAAACCGGAGCUAAUACCUGAUAAUAUAUUGAACCGCAUGGUUCAAUAGUGAAAGACGGUUUUGCUGUCACUUAUAGAUGGAUCCGCGCCGCAUUAGCUAGUUGGUAAGGUAACUGCUUACCAAGGCAACGAUGCGUAGCCUACCUGAGAGGGUACGAGGUCAAAUUGGAAAUGAGACACGGGAGAGACUUUGAAGGGAGGCAGGAGUAGGGAAGUUGCCGAAAUGGGCGAAAGGAGGACGGAGUAAAGCUGAGUGAGUGAUGAAUUUCUUUUUUUUUU